AUGUGUGAUGAUGAUGAAACCACUGCCCUGGUAUGUGACAAUGGUUCAGGGCUUUGCAAAGCUGGAUUUGCAGGAGCUGAUGCCCCAAGAGCUGUAUUUCCAUCCAUCGUUGGACGUCCUCGACAUCAGGGUGUUAUGGUUGGUAUGGGGCAAAAGGACAGCUAUGUAGGGGAUGAAGCACAGAGCAAAAGGGGGAUCCUGACCCUGAAGUAGCCCAUUGAGCAUGGAAUCAUCACCAACUGGGACGACAUGGAAAAGAUUUGGCAUCAUUCUUUCUACAAUGAACUGGGGUUGCUCCAGAGGAACACCCUGUCCUGCUGACUGAGCCCCCAUUGAACCCCCAAGGCCAACCGUGAAAAAAUCACUCAGAUAAUGUUUGAGACGUUCAAUGUGCCAGCCAUGUAUGUAGCAAUUCAGGCAGUGCUGUCUCUGUAUGCAUCUGGGAGAACCACUGGAAUAGUUUUGGAUUCUGGGGAUGGUGUCACACACAACGUGCCUAUCUACGAGGGCUAUGCCUUGCCUCAUGCCAUCAUGAGACUCAACCUGGCAGGCAGAGACCUGACUGACUAGCUCAUGAAAAUCCUCACAGAGACAGGCUACUCGCUUGUCACCACUGUGGAAAUGGAGAUUGUGAGAGACAUCAAAGAGAAGCUUUGCUAUGUGGCUCUGGAUUUUGAAAAUGAAAUGGCAACUGCUGCUUCCUCCUCCUCUCUUGAAAAGAGCUAUGAGCUUCCUGAUGGACAAGUCAUCACCAUUGGGAAUGAACGGUUCUGAUGCCCAGAAACUCUCUUCCAGCCAUCUUUCAUAGGGAUGGAAUCUGCAGGUAUCCACGAAACCCCUUACAACAGCAUUAUGAAAUGUGACAUGGACAUCUGUAAGGAACUCUAUGCCAACAACGUCCCCUCUGGAGGGACCACCACGUAUCCUGGCAUUGGUGAUUGCAUGCAGAAAGAGAUUACAGCUUUGGCUCCAAGUACUAUGAAGGUUAAGAUGAUUGCACCUCCAGAACAUAAAUACUCCGUGUGGAUUGGAGGCUCUAUACUGGCAUCUCUGUCCACCUUUCAGCAGAGGUGGAUCAGCAGAGAUGAGUAUGAGGAAGCUGGUCCCUCCACUGUCCACCACAAGUGCUUCUGA